ACGACUCUCGGCAACGGAUAUCUCGGCUCUCGCAUCGAUGAAGAACGUAGCGAAAUGCGAUACUUGGUGUGAAUUGCAGAAUCCCGGGAACCAUCGAGUCUUUGAACGCAAGUUGCGCCCGAAGCCACUAGGCCGAGGGCACGUCUGCCUGGGUGUCA
rnacentral:rRNA from 1 species